rnacentral:rRNA from 1 species
GAUGAACGCUGGCGGCGUGCCUAAUACAUGCAAGUCGAGCGAACGGACGAGAAGCUUGCUUCUCUGAUGUUAGCGGCGGACGGGUGAGUAACACGUGGAUAACCUACUUAUAAGACUGGGAUAACUUCGGGAAACCGGAGCUAAUACCGGAUGAUAUUUUGAACGGGAUGGUUCAAAAGUGAAAGACGGUCUUGCUGUCACUUAUAGCUGGAUCCGCGCUGCAUUAGCUAGUUGGUAAGGUAACGGCUUACCAAGGCAACGAUGCAUAGCCGACCUGAGAGGGUGAUCGGCCACACUGGAACUGAGACACGGUCCAGACUCCUACGGGAGGCAGCAGUAGGGAAUCUUCCGCAAUGGGCGAAAGCCUGACGGAGCAACGCCGCGUGAGUGAUGAAGGUCUUCGGAUCGUAAAACUCUGUUAUUAGGGAAGAACAUAUGUGUAAGUAACUGUGCACAUCUUGACGGUACCUAAUCAGAAGGCCACGGCUAACUACGUG